GGGCCCGCACAAGCGGUGGAGCAUGUGGUUUAAUUCGAUGAUACGCGAGGAACCUUACCAGGGCUUAAAUGUAGAGUGACAGGCUGAGAGAUCGGUUUUUCUUCGGACACUUUACAAGGUGCUGCAUGGUUGUCGUCAGCUCGUGCCGUGAGGUGUCAGGUUAAGUCCUAUAACGAGCGCAACCCCUAUCGUUAGUUGCUAGCAGGUAAAGCUGAGGACUCUAGCGAGACUGCCGGUGCAAACCGUGAGGAAGGUGGGGAUGACGUCAAAUCAUCACGGCCCUUACGUCCUGGGCUACACACGUGCUACAAUGGUAUGGACAAUGGGUUAAUCCCCCAAAAGCUGUCUC
rnacentral:rRNA from 1 species